AGGAGUGUUAACUGAUACAGUCAAGCCAUGGACAAAAACCUUUGCUGGAAGCCCUUCCAUCGUAAUACGGUUGUGAAACAUCGAUGGAAAAAAGCCGACCUUGUAGGGGAAAAAGGUCAACCCUUAUAUGAUUGUUGUACUGCGAUCAGCUAUAUGAACACAGAUCUUGAGCGGAGAGUGCCGGAAAAAGUCAACCGAGCAGGAAGUCGAUCGUGAAGAGGACAAAGGAAGGACGACAAUCGUCGUUUAGCUGCAUUACCUUCAAUGAUUGUUACGGGCAGCUUAAUGGAGUUCGCGUGGAGCAUUGCCUAUUGUGAUGAUUCGCUAAUCUCGCAGGGGAAUUAGUUGGGUCGACGAUUGUUGCGAGUCUUGGCCAAACCUUAAAGAACACACACUUAACAGCGAAUCUAUGCAUGAGGUAUGCUGAAGCUUUAUGGUAAUUCAGACUCUGUAUCGCAAGUCGCUCGGUCCUUCGCUUCGGUGAAAACGUCUCGAAACGGGAAUCUGGGGCGUUUUGUAUCAGCAUCUCACGUCUUCGGGGACCAGCUUUUAUAGAUUCGUCUUCGGCAAGUUGAUGAUAUAAACUUACAUGGAACUAUCUAUCGUGCAACGUUCAUCGCAAAGGGUUCGGAGUGCGUCGUAUUCGUUGGGCGUGCCAGAUACAAAUCUGUAUGUUGGUGCCGGGUCCCUUAGAUUGUAGCUAAAUAGAUUACAACUAGCGGCGUAAAACUGUCUGGAGCACACUGGAAUCUUUGCGUUGAUUAGAUAAGUCUAGAGGCCAUAAAUAGGCUUAUUCUUCUUUAUUAAUCUUACUCGAAAAUAUGUACAUGCGGAUAACUUAAUACUGGAUAAAGUUAUUAAUUACAUUAGGCAAAUUGCGGGUUAGAAUUUUUUUCAAACGAUAAUAUGGUCAAUAAUAAUAGAGAGACAUCGUUGCGAUUAACUAACAACGUUAGCAAAUGAUUGCUCCUUUGUGUGUACUUGCAUAGUUUGUAUAGAAAGCCGAUGAAAGUUCAUGUGAAGUUACUGCCGGAAGCAUUGUCGUUUGGAAAGGUUGAUUACAGCAGUUGGCCAUUGCAUUGCACAAACACUAACUCUAGAAAAUCAUAGUGUAGAAAAUAUAAUGAUAUUUAUUACU